CCUACGGGUGGCUGCAGUGGGGAAUUUUGGACAAUGGGGGCAACCCUGAUCCAGCCAUUCCGCGUGAGUGAAGAAGGCCUUCGGGUUGUAAAGCUCUUUCGGCCGGGAAGAAAUCGCAUCUCCUAAUACGGGGUGUGGAUGACGGUACCGGAAGAAGAAGCACCGGCUAACUACGUGCCAGCAGCCGCGGUAAUACGUAGGGUUCGAGCGUUAAUCGGAAUUACUGGGGCGGCUCAGUGCGACAGAUGCUAAACCCCCGGGCUUAACCUGGGAACUGCGUUUGUGACUGGUGGGCUUGAGUGCGGCAGAGGGGGGUGGAAUUCCACGUGUAGCAGUGAAAUGCGUAGAGAUGUGGAGGAACACCGAUGGCGAAGGCAGCCCCCUGGGUCGACACUGACGCUCAUGCACGAAAGCGUGGGGAGCAAACAGGAUUAGAUACCCUUGUAGUC
rnacentral:rRNA from 1 species